UACGGAGGGUGCGAGCGUUGUCCGGAAUCAUUGGGCGUAAAGGGCGCGUAGGUGGCCCGGUCAGUUCGUGGUGAAAACCCGGGGCUCAACUCCGGGCCUGCAGCCGAUACGGGCAGACUAGAGUUCGGCAGGGGAGACUGGAAUUCCUGGUGUAGCGGUGAAAUGCGCAGAUAUCAGGAGGAACACCGGUGGCGAAGGCGGGUCUCUGGGCCGAUACUGACGCUGAGGAGCGAAAGCGUGGGGAGCGAACAGG
rnacentral:rRNA from 1 species